rnacentral:rRNA from 1 species
AAUCAACGCUGGCGGCGCGCCUAACACAUGCAAGUCGAGCGAGAAAGUAGCAAUAUGAGUAAAGCGGCGUACGGGUGAGUAACACGUGGAUUAUGUACCUCUUUGUGGGGAAUACCUCUGGGAAACCGGAGACAAUACCGCAUAAGCCCGAGAGGGGAAAGCAGCAAUGCGCAGAGAGAGCAGUCCGCGGUCGAUUAGCUAGUUGGUAAGGUAAUGGCUUACCAAGGCAAAGAUCGAUAGCCGGCCUGAGAGGGCACACGGUCACACUGGCACUGAAACACGGGCCAG